AGCAGCAACAGCAACAGUAGCACUCUACCACUCUAGCAAUCAGUUGGAUUGGAUAUAACACGCACGUGCUCACAACUCACAAGACAUCAUCGAUUUGGGCCGCCAGUCCUUGGAAUUUUUUAGAUUUACUCUCAAAUUAAUUAAUAUUGCGAUCCAGCAUUGGUUCGUCAGCUUUAUUACGGCGAUCUUUAAUCUCGUUUUUCAUUUGGUCUCAACUGAACACUCGUGCACGAGCUAGAAGACUUCAUAAUGGACUACCAAACAGUUUUGACGAGUUACCUUACGGAUUUUAAACUUCGUUCACGCAAAUUCGAUGGAAUUGUGGCGGAUGUCAGCGACACCAUGACUCCUGAACACGCUGCUCAUUCGAUCAUAUGGUCUCGUGCCUGCAUCGUGUCUUUGUUAUUGAUCAGAAACAUUGAUAAGCACACCGAGCACUUGCUGAGGGAACUAUCCUCUCAGGACUGCAACGCCACGGUCGGCGAUAUCCCACCACUUACUGCCCUUGCCUGGCAGUCGAGUAACCCCUUACUCGCCGAAAAAAUUGUACACAUGGCUCGAAUGCUGAUUGAAAAGGGGGCAGAGCCAACUUUUGUGUCAAGAACCUCGUGCAGGUCUCAGUACACCAUCCCGGACGCAAUAUCUCUGGCCACCUUUGCUCACUGCGAGCCCCUCCUACGAAACCUUUUGAUGUACUGGUGGCCCAGUCCUAUGUACCUCCUGGACAGCGUGUCCGGACGCAGGGUGAAACAUUUUAAACGUCUUUUUCCAAUGGUGAUUCAAUUUGGUCUUCCCCAUGGAAAAAGAAUUUGCUCCGUAGUUGAAAACUUCAUUGAGAAUGUAAUUCAAAUGAAACUCUAUGAAGAAAAUGACGAAGGCACGUGGCAAGGCUUUCUGAAACAACUGCGCCGCAAGCCCAGCUCUUUAAAGCAGUUGAGCAGAAUAGCUGUCCGCAAUUCGAUUGGUUGCAGUUCGUCGAGUGGGCUGGAGUUGUUUCAAAAGAUUGAAAGCCUGAGGAAUAAGUUGCCACGAACACUUCACAAUUAUGUGUCUUUGA